ACUAGAUUUAUAUCGUUUCUUUUUCUUCCAAGUCUCGCGACACAGACGCAACUGGUCACUGACGCCGACGCCGACGCGGGCUCUCACGCUCUCGCCUCCUCAAGACCAGAGUUUUCGAACACCCGUUUUGCUACCGCCGACGCCUAACCAGUCGCCGAUUCGGACACGCUUCAACAAAACUAGGCGUAUGGAAAAUCUCAUCUUCUGGCGUGGCGGCAUUAGUAGCACGCGGAGGAUUGGACAGCUUCGCCAUGGCUGAAUGCAAAGUUGUCCAGAACCAAGCCUCGGUUUUGCUUCUUGACGAGGGACUAUUUAUUAAACCAGAUUCUUGGACCGGGACUUAUUCUGAAUCCACUUAAGCUUGUUCUAUAUAUUGACUUAUCUUUGGCAAGUGGCUUAGGAUCGAAAGUGUGUUGUUGAUUA